rnacentral:rRNA from 1 species
GACGAACGCUGGCGGCGUGCUUAACACAUGCAAGUCGAACGGUGAAGCGCCUUCCUUUUUGGUGGGUGUGGAUGAGUGGCGAACGGGUGAGUAACACGUGAGUAACCUGCCCCCUUCUUCUGGAUAACCGCAUGAAAGUGUGGCUAAUACGGGAUAUUCUGGGUCUGUCGCAUGAUGGGUCUGGGAAAGAUAUUGUUUCGGUGGGGGAUGGGCUCGCGGCCGAUCAGCUUGUUGGUGGGGUGAUGGCCUACCAAGGCGGUGACGGGUAGCCGGCCUGAGAGGGUGGACGGUCACACUGGGACUGAGACACGGCCCAGACUCCUACGGGAGGCAGCAGUGGGGAAUAUUGCACAAUGGGCGCAAGCCUGAUGCAGCGACGCCGCGUGAGGGAUGGAGGCCUUCGGGUUGUGAACCUCUUUCGCCAGUGAAGCAGGCCUGCCUCGUUUGUGGGUGGGUUGACGGUAGCUGGAUAAGAAGCGCCGGCUAACUACGUG